GGACGCCAGUUUUGGCGGAGCCAUCCUUGGGAUACCACCCUUGUAGUACUGGGACUCUAACCAUAGGCCAUGAAUCUGGUCUUGGGACACUGUCAGGUGGGCAGUUUGACUGGGGCGGUCGCCUCCCCAAAGGUAACGGAGGCGCUCAAAGGUUCUCUCAGUACGGUCGGAAAUCGUACGUAGAGUGUAAAGGCAAAAGAGAGCUUGAUUGCAAGACAUACAGGUCGAGCAAGGAUGAAAAUCGGACUUAG
rnacentral:rRNA from 1 species